UACAGUUUACCUAAAUACCCUUUAGCGUCAUCUUAGAAAGAGUUCGAGGAUUUUUUAGGACAGUAACUCAGAUUAAUUUGGAAAUUAUGACAAUAACUUUCGAACUUGUAAAAAUAGGACACUAAUUUUUUUUAGAGUAAAAUAGGACACUAAUUAAUAAAUGUUACAUCCGCAUGACAUUUUUCGGUCAAUUAUCAGCCGAGAAAUAUCCUAUUUUUACGACGCUUAUUAAUUAGUGUCCUAUUUUGCUCUAAAAAAAAAUUAGUGUCCUAUUUUUACAAAUCCGAAAGUUUUUGUCAUAAUUUCCAAGUCAACAUAAGUUAUUGUCCUAAAAAAUCCAUUGAUUCUCUUAGAAACAAUUAAGGUUAAUCAAUUUCAAAUUUGAAAUUUAAGAUUUGAUCGGUUCACGUAAUUUUUAAAUUUAUUUGUUCAUUAAAAAAAAAUCAUAUUCGAAUUACAUAGCUAUCCGUGGUAAUUACAUAUUCUUAUUUCGACAAAUUACCUGGUCAUUUCUUUUUUCUUUUUUUGAUAAAACACUUUGUCAUUAUCACUUCAAAUUUUAUUCUAAUCUCAAAACCUAUUGGGAUCUCCAUUAUACUCCCCCCAUCCUUGAAGUAAGUUCCUCUUUUUUUUUUUUUCUUUUUGGGACGUCCCCAAAUAGGGAUGACAACGGGCCGGAUCUGGACCGGUCUGGACCAAUACGAUCCAGAUCCGUUUUCAUAUACUAGAUCCAGAUCCAGAUCCAGAUCCGUGGAUCUGAAAAUUUUGGAUCCAGAUCCAGAUCCGCGGGUCCACGGGUCCAGAUCCAUGGAUCUACUAUUUUUAAAUUAAAUUAAAAAAAUUUCACAAAAUCAACAACAUCUAAUUUCCAUCAUGAAAAAUAUAACACAAAAUACUUUUAUCUAAUUACUUUUAGUUUUUAUUCUUUUAAUAUAAUUUAUUUAUUAUUUUUAAUUUAGUUAAUAUUAUUAGUAAACUAAAUAUAAAAUAUAAAAAAUAUAUAUAAAAUAAAACGGAUCCACGGGUCGGAUCUGGGCCGGAUCCGGAUCUAAAAUUUCAAGAUCCAGAUCAGAUCCGUUUUCAAAAUGAGAUCCAGAUCCAGAUCCAGAUCCGUCGGGUCCGAAAAAUUGAGAUCCAGAUCCGUAAAAACGGAUCUGGAUCCACGGAUCUGGACCGGGUCCAAGAUCCACUGCCAUCCCCUAUCCCCCAAAUAAGUUCUUCUUUCUUUCUUUCUAUUUUUGGACAACUACCACACCACUAAUAAUACUUUAUUUAUUCUUACUUUUCACUUUUUCACCACUCUCAAUAUUAAUUAUAACACUUUUUCACCUUUUCAUCACUUUCAAUACUAAUUAUAACACAUUUUUCUCCACUAUCAAUACACUUACCAUUUUUUCUUAAAAUUUGUGUCGUCCCCAAAGAGAAACUUAUUUCAGGGACGGAGGGAGUAUUUAAGUUACUAGUACGUGCUCGCUCGUGCGAUACACGACCAUCAUCGAAAUUGAAUGAUAAUUUAAAUAAAUAAAUAAAUAAAUAAAUAAAUAUUAAAUAUAAUUUAUAUAUAAGUAAAAUACAAACAUGAAUCUCAAUAAAAAAAAAUUAAAUUAUCCACAACAUUAUCUCGAUAAAAAAUAUGAAUCUGAAAACAUUCGAAUUUUCAAAUUUUAAAAUAGCAAUUAAUUGAAUUAAUUGAUAAUGUGUAUAAAUAUAUGAAUCAUCAAAUAUCAAAAGCAAGUAUAAAUGAUAAUGAGUUUCAUUAUGGAUCAUAUAAUAUUCUAAGAUUUACAAAAUAUUUAUUUAUAUAUAAUUUAAUAUAUUUUUUGAAUACAUAUUUUGUAAGGAAUUGAUCACGCUGCAGUUGCAGCAAACCAACUCGAUCACAGCAACAAGAGUCGCAGCAAUAGACCUCUCAACUCACAAAGCUAAACACUCAAGUUCGUGAUGAAAAUUAAAGCAAUAAACAAAGAAAGGUGACACCAGAUUUUUACGUGGUUCAAUUGUUAAAACUACAUCCACGGAAGAUCACACAAGACCUUUCACUAUCACGAUCAAGAUGUUACAAAGAAUUACACAACAAAGAGCUAGAGAUGACAGCUCACAAGCCUAACUUAAGACUACUGUUUCUCAAUCUCUCUUUUCACUCUUUUUCUCAGAGAAUUCAUAAAACUUCUAACCUAAUCUAUGAGGAUUACAGAAUGUAUUUAAACUCAUAAAAUGAUCAAGUAAUGAGCUCACAAACUGAGCAGCAAGAUGCUAUGUGCGAAGUUGAAUUCUGUUAGUUUGUUUUCAACAAACUAAAUUCCUGCUUUGCACUUAAGCUCCUCAAUUGUUGAUAAUUUGCUUUUAACCCUUCACUUAAUAGCUGCAAUUAUGAAUUCACAUUCUACAUAUUUAAAUACUAUUUAUGCGGUCAUUUUGUUUAAAUAUAAAUUUUAAAAUAAAGUUCCUAUCAACGUCCAAAGAUUUGAUUUAUUCUAUCGGUGAGUCAUAAGUGUAUACAUGCAUGCAAUAACAGACCUACGAAUUUAAUUCUAGUCAGACAAGAUUUCAUUGAAAUUUUAUGAUCGGACGAAUUUAUAGAAUUUUUAAAAGAAUCACAUAAAAUAUAUAAGUAAUAAAAAUAAAUGACUUGGCGGCUGCCGAGGGUGCUUGGCCUUUAAAACCGCCCCUGAUGCCAUUUAAUUUGAAUAAAUAUGGUAAUAAUUAUUUUUAUAUCCAUUAAAAUUUUUAUUUAUAUUAAUUUAUCGAUAAAUAUUUUUUAUCAAUUGAUAAGUGAAAAAAUAAAGGGUUCAACGUGAGAUAUGUAUCUUUAUUAUUGUGCCCAAUAUCAGUUGCUAUAGGCGGUUUGUUAUUGUGGCAGCAAGUGGGAAAAUAUUUCUUAGUUUCAUUUGCAACUAGAAGUAUUCGUGUGGUUUCAAGUAUUGGUUAUUUCAGCUGUGUUUGUGUAUUUGUAGUAAUGGUGUUAUUAAUAAUUGUUAGUUCAACUAAUUUAAAGUACUGGUGUAAUGAUCGAAUCUUACAACAUUAGUACUGGUGUAAUGGAGUAUUUUUUUUAAAUAAAAAAUAUUUCUCUUAAAAAAUAAAAUAUUACCCCCUCUAUCUCACUUCAAAUGACCCAAAAAAAUUGGGCAUGAAAAUUAAGAAAUGUGUGAUAAAGGUGAAAAGUGGUGGUGGGACAACUCAAAAAAUAGUGUUAAAUACCUAAUGUUAUUUCUAAAUUUGGGUUGAGUCAUUUAAAGUGGAACAACUCAAAAUAGAAAUUGGAUCAUUUGAAGUGGGACGAAGGGAGUAUAAAUUUUAUAUAAGCAAUAGCCGAAUAUAUGGAUUGAAAUUGAUGCAACACAUUACAUAUAAUUUUCUUUUUUAAUUUGUUACACCAAAGAAAGGAAAAACGCACUCACACUCUAACCUUUUAGGUGACUGGAACCCAAUAAUAUAUAACAAAAUUUUACGUAUUUAUUUUAUAUAAUUUGUUCUCCUUCUUUCUUUCAUGUUUCUAUUUUAUAUAUUUUUUUUCUUAUUUAUUGUACAUUAACAAUUUCACUAACUAACAGAUUUUUUUUUCUAACUUAUAUAUAUACUAAAAACAAUGGGUCCAGAUUACUAAAAAAUUUGUUUAACUAAAGUAAUUAUUUACAGUAUAAUGAAUACAAUAAAAAAAUAUAAUUUGUGAGGGAUAUAUUUGUACUCUGAAAUGAUAAUAUUUUCAAAUGAGCAUUGAUAUGUUUACUGUUUAACUAUGUAUAUAAAAAUAAUACUACGUGAAAUUUUCUAAAUUUUAUGACUCCUUAAUAAUAUUUAGUCUUAACAUAAUUAGUACUCCCUCCGUCCCAUAAGUGCACACUUUCCUUUUUGGGUGUCCCAUAAAGCACAUUUCAAAAAAUGAAAUAUUUAUUGCAUAAGAUACACUAAUUAUUGCACUUAAUUAUGGUAUAAAUAAGAGACAAAAAAACCCUAAUCUUAUUUUUGCCAAAUUUCGUCCUCUCCGCCUCUCUCACUCUCUCGUCUCUCUCUCUCAAUCCAGCUUCUCCGGCGAGCCUCCGACCACCGCCGAGCACCCCUCGCCUCUCCGACCACUGACGGGGGCAGAGGGCCGAGACCUAGCCCUAGCCCCGCCGAACAGCGCGGCGCCCCUCCCCCUCUCUUCUCCUUCUCCGCCGCCGCCUGCUUCUCCUUCUCCAACCGACGGCGGCUCUGGGGCCGCGCCGCGACCGCCUUCCUUCUUCCCCUCGCAUCUCUCUCUGUCCGACUCCUCUCUCUUCCCCUCUCGGUUCUCCCUCGUCUCUCUCGCUCAUCUCUCUCUCGACCUCUGUGUUUGCCGCCGCCGCCUUCUCCGACCGAACAGCCGCCACCCAUUCUCUUCUCUUCUCCGACAGAUCUGGUUCUAGUGGCUAGGGUUUGCAGGGCGGCAGAGCUGGGGGCUAGGGGCUAGGGUUUGCAAGCGUUCGAUUUUGGGCAAGACCCCCUCCGCCUUGGUUCUGGAAUCCUCCAUUAUCGCCGCCCAUCUCCUCGCCCCAAUUCUGCCACCGCUCAUCUCCUCGCCCCAAUUGUUUGUGGGUUCGAUUAUCUCUUGGUUUUGAUUUGCAAUUGUUUCUGGGUUCGAUUUGCAAUUGUUUAUGGGUUCGAUUUUUCAAUUUGCAAUUUUCAAUCUGUCCAAUUGUUUCUGGAUUGAUUCAAUCAGUUUUUGAAUCAGUUUCUGCAGUCACAAAUUUGCAAUUGUUUAUGGGUUCGAUUUUCAGCGGCAUAGCAGAGGGAAUCGACGGUCGUGGUCGACGGCGGCGGCGGCGCUGGUGGUCGGCGGUGGUCGGAGCAGAUGAGAGAGAGAGAGUUGGGGUUUAAUAAAGACAUUAAUGAAAUUACAAAAAUUUAAAAUUCAACUAAAACAUUAAAUAGAAAUAAAUAAAUACACUAAAUUAAAACUAAUCAACUACACUAAUAGUGGUGAGCCACAACACUUUAACAACUAAUCUACCUUUCCUUAAUCUCCGUGCCCAAAAGACCUAUGUCUUUAUUAAUGGGACGGAGGGAGUAAUAUUUAGUCUUAACAUAAUUAGUACUCUCUACGUCCCAUUAAAGUUGGCCACAUUUCCUUUUUGGUUGUCCCACUAAAGUUGGUCACUUUCUAAAAAUUGAAAUAUUUAUUUUAGUUAAGUCCAAUUAGUUCAUUUAAUUAAAAAUUUCUAGUUAAAUCUAAACCCUCUUUAUUUAAAAACACACACACAAAACACACACUAACACACGCACACAGCCAACCCCCCCUCCCCCAGCGCCGACCCCCUUCUCUUUUCUUCUCCGGCGGCCGCCCCAUCCCCUGACCUCCCUCUCACUCUCCCUCGCCUCUGCUCUCUCAGGAUCUGGCCCUCCACCGCCUCCCUUCACCUAGUGUCGCUCCACACCUCCAUUUCUUCCACCCGCGCCGCCUUCCUCCACCUCCUCGCCUUCCUUCACCCGCCUCCGCCUCCGCCUCCCUCCACCUAGCGCCACUCCACAGCCUCCAUUUGGGGCUAGGGUUUUUCCUCUCCGCCUCUUCGAUUUGGGGCUAGGGCUUUGCCUUCGCCGCCGAUUUGGGCUAGGGCUUUGCCGCUCCGCCUCUCCAGUCGGCUGCAUCUGCGAUUUGGGGCUAGGGCUUUGCCGCCGCCGCCGAUUUGCCUCUCCAGGCAGCGCCGCUUCCUUCGGGUUUGGAGAUUGAGGAGAUUUCGCUGCGAUUUGGGCGAGCGGCUGAAAAUCUAAGCCUAGGUCCGCCGAUUUGGGGGUGAGCGAUGGAGUGUCGAUUGGGUUAUCUCUUUCAUUUUUUCGGUUUUUAGCUGAACAUUGAAGCUUGGUUUGGGUGAGGCAGGUGAUGCGAAGCCUGGAUUAAUUUUUGAUUGAAGCCUUUUUUUGGCUUUGGCUGAAAAUCGAAGCCUAGCUUUGAUGGGCGCCGAAGCUCGCCUGUCGUUGAUUCGCCUGUGAAGGUGAAGUUUGGUUUGGGUGAGGGGCGAGCGGUGACCACCGGCGCCGGCGUCGCCGGCGCCGUCGCCGUUGCCAUUACCAGAUGCAGUGAAGUUAGGUUGAAGAAGAUAAAGUUAGGUUGGAGGAAAUUUUAAUUAAUUCAUUAAUUUUGAUGGACCACAUUUAAUUAAACACUAACUAUCCCUUUCUUAAUCUCCAUGCCGAAAAGAAUGUGGCCAACUUUAAUGGGACAGAGGGAAUAUUAAUUAAUUCAAACGUUUAAGUUCUAUGAUGGUAAAGAAGAAAAAAUAAUAGAAUUACAAAUACAUAAUUUAUCUAUCAACAAUCGUAUUUUUUUUUUAAUUUUUAAGAAAAAAAAAAUGUAUACCCUAUAGAACUAUAUAUUGCAUCCACAAAAUUACCAUUUUAAUUUAAAUUUUUGCAAAUGUUCUUCGUGAAAUACAUCAAUAAAAUAUUGGGUUAAGGUACAAAUGCCCCCCUAAACAAGACACCCCUCGAGCGCAUCCCUCUCCAUUUUCUCGAUGUUGGCCCAAAUAAACUCCUAGAGUCCAAAAAUAGGGUACACUUAAACUCAGGCGUUAAACGACCGUCUAACGCCGUGCACUUAAAUUUUAAAUUUUUGUUUUAUUUUCUCGUGGGGUCCACUUUCAUCACAACGAUCCAAAUCAACCACCUUCAUCUUCUUCUUCAUCUCUCCUAUCAUACUCAGUCGAUACUCCCGAGUACCCGCCUUAUCUCUUCAACAUUCCCACCACCACCACCGCCGCCACAGCUUUCCUCCCACAAUAAACCCCCAUCUUCUCAUCAUCAAUUCCAUUAUCAUCAUUCCUGCACGACCAACCAUACAGAUCCUCAGCCAGUUCCGCAACGCGCAGUUCCCCUCAAUCGAGAGCGAAGACGCCGCAAUGACAAAAGCCAUUCUAGCCGUCUAUUGUGUAUUGAAUCGGGUUAACACAAAUUAAUAUGCAAGUGCACGUAGUUUCAAUAAGUAAUAAAAGGAAGUAUUCCAAGAUCGUCUCCACAUGGAAUGCAAAAUAAAACUUAAACUAUCUCAGCUACAAAGAAACAAGCAAUUUAAGAACUACUUGAAAGCUAGAAAUUAAUUAAUGCUUUAAAUCAAGAUGAUGGUUUUCUAAUAAACUAAAACUAAACUAAGGUUGGUAAAAAUCUUAACUAAAGUUAACUAGACAGAAGAUAGAAGAUUAAACAAAGAAAAUAUAUAAGAGAAACGGANGCAAACUCUCAUUCCCUUCUAGAAUUUCAGUUUCAUGUAACACCCCAUCAGACUCCCAACCACCUUCACCAUAGCCACUAACACCCUCACUGCCCUCACAAUCACCAUCAUUGCCCUCACCCUCCCCAUCACUGCCCUCAAUAACACCCUCACCCUCUGUACAACCCUCAAUGCCCUCACCAUGUUUACUAACUGUCUCUUUACUCCCACCCUCAACACACACAGUAACAAUCAUGUGUUUACCCAUUUCAUUCAACAUAUUCAUUACCCCUUUGUCGUCUUUUAUUAGUUUAUGUGUUUGAGUUGUAGGGACACGAUAGUACAGGUGUUGUGGUAAAAUCGGAUUAACACAAUUUAAUACGCAAGUGCACGUAGUCUCAACAAGUAAUAAGAGGAAGUAUUCCAAGAUCGUCUCCACAGGGAAUGCAAAUUAGAACUUAAACUAUCUCAGCUACAAAGAAACAAGCAAAAUAAGAACUACUUGAAAACUAGAAAUUAAAUAAAGCUUUAAAUCAAGAGGAUGGUUUUCUAAUAAACUAAAAUUAAACUAAGGUUGGUUAAAAUCUUAACUAAAGUUAACUAGACAGAAGAAAAAAAAUUAAACAAAGAAAAUAUAUAAGAGAAACGGACUUGGAUUGAUGAAUCCCACUAUAUCUUUCACACUGAACAGAAUGCUGCAGCAAUAUUUAAGCAAAAUCUCACAGUUACGAAAAUUCACAAACAUUCAUAGAACUUUCUCAAAUCCUAUGGUUUCUCAUUCUACAACUUUCUCGAGCAUAUUCCUAUGCUAAAUCAAGCUUAGAACAACAGAUACACAGCUCCAAUUUCUAACCGCACACAAGGUGUUGGGAACCUUGUGGAAUAUCCUAACCCUUGUUUUGAUGAUACCAAAAUUCAUAGGACUUAAAUGUAAUAGACUAGAAUCGUUUUUGAACUCAAGUGUUAGAGUUCGUUUCUAGUUUAGUUGCGGUGUCAAAGACUGAAGACUGAAGAACGAAGACUGAAGACUGAANNNNNNNNNNNNNNNNNNNNNNNNNNNNNNNNNNNNNNNNNNNNNNNNNNNNNNNNNNNNNNNNNNNNNNNNNNNNNNNNNNNNNNNNNNNNNNNNNNNNNNNNNNNNNNNNNNNNNNNNNNNNNNNNNNNNNNNNNNNNNNNNNNNNNNNNNNNNNNNNNNNNNNNNNNNNNNNNNNNNNNNNNNNNNNNNNNNNNNNNNNNNNNNNNNNNNNNNNNNNNNNNNNNNNNNNNNNNNNNNNNNNCAGAAUGUUGUAGUAAACUCCCAGCAACGCUUAAGUCCCUACACAAAACCAACAAAUCUCUCAUUUGUCUAUUUUUAUAUGAGAUUAGCUAACUUUGGCAUCAAUUUUCAUAUAUCUCAAUUCUCAAACACCCAAAAACGAAAGAGCGAAACGACAAUAAAACGUAAAAGAAAACCUAAAGAACUACACAAAACAUGCAUCAAACUCUUCUUAAAAGCUUAAAAGAAUGAAUAAUAACUCUUAAUACAAGAGUUAUCACCGCCCUCUCCUCUCCUUCAACCUCCUCUACCUCUCACCACAACCUUCCCCGAAACAUUCCCACUUCAUUCACAAGAUACCAAGCGAACUCCGCCCCUCGGCUCGCCUCCGCGUCUCAGAACCAUAACAAGUUCAAAAGAGUCGUUUCAUUUUUCAGAAAGCUGAACCUCCUGAGAAGCAGACAUGAAAUUCAGGGCCAAGGAAACCUCUCCACCGCUACGCAGCUGCACCACAUGAUCUCCGAGAGAAAGCGCCGCUAGAAGUUCAACGAAAGCUUCUAGAUGCUCAGAUCUUUCAUCCCUCAUGGAACCAAGGUACCUAAUUCACCAUUAUCGAUCUUCCAAUAAAAAAUCCUUCCAUUUUUUUCGGGGGGAAAUCUCAUGAGUCGUUAUCUUGAUGCAGAAGGAUAAGGCGUCUGUGCUGAGCAGCACCACCGAGUAUCUGAGCUCGUUGAAGUCACAGGUGGCGAAGCUGGCCAAGUGGAAUCUGCUUCUUGAAUCGUAGAUUAACUCGAUACAGAAAUUAGAAAGUGACGCAGACGAAGCGGGGAGUUCUUCGUCCGGUGGUGAAAAGAUUAUUGUGGAGAUCGCGCAGGUUUCAUCGUCGUCGGAGGAGGAAGCAAGUCGUGUUAGAUCAGUUGCAGUUCAGUAAUUAAACAUAUAUGGAGGUGGGACCUACAAGAAAAAAAAAUUAGUAAAAUUUAAGUUGACGGCGUUAGACAGCCGUUUAGAGUCUGGGUUUAAAUGUACCCUUUUUUUGGACUCUGGGGGUGUAUUUGGGCCAGCAUCGAGAAUGAGGAGGGAUAUGCUCUAGGGAUGUAUUGUUUAGGGGGCAUUUGUACCUUAAGCCUUUCUUUUAUUAGUGAUCAAUGUAUAAUUAUUACGUAUAUUUUCUUUCACAAAAACUUAUCUGCCGCCUCACAAAUUGAGCGCUCACCACAUGCGCGCGGAUCUUGGUGCGACCCGACCCGGAUCCGGGUCCAUCAUAUAAAAAAAUUUCCUGAAAACCUACCAUUUUCUUAUUUCUCCUUAUUCUCCCUCUGUAGCCGCUCUGUCCGUCUUCUCCCUCUCUCCCACUUUCCAGAAUCAAGAUUGUCAAUUAAUGUCUUAUCUGUAACGAAUGAUUUGCAAGAGCGACGUUGGGAAAAGGAGCGAACAGAGCGAUCGCGACGCUGUUCGGCGAAGCGCACGAUUUGGUGAAUCUGACGCCAAAGAAAGUGGAGGUCGUUUUGAUCUUACGCCAGCAGGUGUAGUCGAAGGCGGUGUGAAAUUUCCAUAGAUUCAUGGCGNUUGCAGGGUUCGUACACUCUGACAAUGAAAAUGGUGGAUGGGAACAACAACCAGUUGACAUGCAUUACAGUCGACUUCAGCAUCGGUUUCAUAGCAGAAGAGAAGUUGGCUGAUAUGUAAAUGCUCGAGAAUAUUCCUAUAUUUCCUGGCUUUAAUGUAUAGAAGACUUGUUUCUAUGUAUGAUGUCCGAACCCUUUCACGUUUGAGUAUCUGUGUAUGUACGCCGACGGUAAAGACUUUUAAUAAAUUUUACAUCCCCAUUUUCUGGUUUUGGUUGAUUCUUGAUAGUAUAUAACUAUUUGAGUGCCUAGG
rnacentral:lncRNA from 1 species